AUGGGGAACAGGACUUACUUUUUGGUGAGAGCAAGUUAUUUAUAUAAUAAACUCUCCCAAGGCAGCUUCACCACUAUUUUGCAGGGUGUGGUGAGUGGGUCCUGUAGCAGUGAAAUGGAGGACCCCUUUAUAUGACAUUAGGAACAGUGUCCUGUACUUUGGUUAUAACUUCCACCCAAGGUUCUYACUUUACCCUGGCAGGUUCACCCAUGAAAUACCAGUGCUUUAGCCAUGUAAACUGAACAGAAGAGAAAGAUGUGCUUCACUACCAGGGUAYAAACAGGUUAAGAGCUUCAAGCAGUUCCUUGCUCACCACCAUCAGGUAACUUCCUGAGCUACUGCAACAUGGGAAAAAGCCUUUUGGGGCUGAGACUGGGAGGAGCAGGAAAGGAAUCUAACUUCCCUUUCUGGUGUGGCAGCAAGCUGGACUCGAAUGACGCACUGUGAGCCGUGACCUGAAAUUUAAAGGUAGUCUGUGGAAAUGCAGCUGAGAACUGGAGAAUAGAAAACAGAACUAUGUUUCUUCAUGAUGGCUUUGUUGAGAGCCAAGCAUAUCCUAAGCUUUACUAUUGCUCCUGGAAGUGAAUAAAGAGGCUUUUAUAUUUAYRCAAGACCAUGUCUAAUCCAAACUAAGAUAUCUUGCCCUGGAAACAUCUUUUUGCUUAUUUGUUGUUCCAACACUUUGUUGUUCCAUUGCUAAUUAACAAAUGCUCUUUCUGGCCUGUUCCUCCCCCUGUGCUGGACACUGGCAGAACUGCGGUCCAUGAGUCCUCUCACAGAAAUGUAUUUAAAGCUAUUUCAUUGGAAGAGUUUA